UACGUAGGGCGCAAGCGUUGUCCGGAAUUAUUGGGCGUAAAGAGCUCGUAGGCGGUUUGUCGCGUCUGCUGUGAAAUCCCGAGGCUCAACCUCGGGCUUGCAGUGGGUACGGGCAGACUAGAGUGCGGUAGGGGAGACUGGAAUUCCUGGUGUAGCGGUGGAAUGCGCAGAUAUCAGGAGGAACACCGGUGGCGAAGGCGGCUUCCUGGGACCGAAUACUG
rnacentral:rRNA from 1 species